rnacentral:rRNA from 1 species
GACGAACGCUGGCGGCGUGCUUAACACAUGCAAGUCGAACGGAAAGGCCCUGCUUUUGUGGGGUGCUCGAUUGGCGCACGGGUGAGUAACACGUGAGUAACCUGCCCUUGACUUUGGGAUAACUUCAGGAAACUGGGGCUAAUACCGGAUAGGAUCUCCUGCUGCAUGUUGGGGGUUGGAAAGUUUCGGCUGUUGGGGAUGGACUCGCGGCUUAUCAGCUUGUUGGUGUGGUAGUGGCUUACCAAGGCUUUGACGGGUAGCCGGCCUGAGAGGGUGACCGGCGACAUGGGGACUGAGAUACGGACCAGACUCCUACGGGAGGCAGCAGUGGGGAAUAUUGCACAAUGGGCGGAAGCCUGAUGCAGCAACGCCGCGUGCGGGAUGACGGCCUUCGGGUUGUAAACCGCUUUCGCCUGUGACGAAGCGUGAGUGACGGUAAUGGGUAAAGAAGCACCGGCUAACUACGUG